rnacentral:lncRNA from 1 species
UUGACACAGUCCAGCGAUUUUAUUUGCUGCAUGAAAGAAUGCAACGAGUGUUUUCACUCGACAAAAUUGAAUGCAUUAGAAACGUACAUGGAACCGGCCAUUUUAACCUGGAAAGAACAUGCAUAUGUACUUUCUGUCAUGGCAGUGACUUCUCCUGAUAAUAUGCAACGACCAAUGUCUUGCUUAUAACACCAAAUAGUUGUGAAUUGACUGACAAAUUUGAACUAAACCUGUAUCAGUUGCUGAAGCCGAGACUCCCUGCUAUUAUGGAUACACACGUGUGUUUGGUGUUAAUCAGUAUACUGAUUUUAUUGAUGGCACAAAAUGUCAAUGGACAAGGUUAGGUGCUCAAUGGUUUGAAAUACAACGAAUACCAAACGGUGAAGAUGUAGGACUGAUAUAUCUACGUGUUCUGUAAUUAACUACGAUAUUAUUUAUAUGACACGUGCCAUCAACUCGUGUAAAUAUAUCUAAAAACUAAAUGUAAAGAUUAAAAUUUUGUUUAUAGGUCACCAUUUCGGAGGUCAUAGAAAUUCUACUCAAAUUUCAAAAGGUAAGAUCACUUAGUAUGCGAUGCGAAAAACAGCGGUAUAUUGGGAGGGGAUUUGAUCAUUUAUUGGAGAGGUUCAACGUUCAAAAGUUUGACUACACCACGGUACACACGCGUAAAAAUCUCACUUCUUGAAGCAAGUCUGCUGUCAACAAAUUGUGUUCGCACUGCUUGUCCCAAGUUGUCAACAAGUUUGGAACAAGCUGUUAUAAACAACUUGUAACAACCUUGUUGAUAUUAUCAGACUUGUUGCAAGGUUGUUCCAACAAGUCCAAUACAGUCAUGAUUAAAACAAUAUUGUUACAACCUUGUGUCGUCAGCCUUGUAACAUUCUUGUUAUAUCAUGACUGUAUCAGGCUUGUUAGAACAACUUUGUGACAAGUAUGAUAAUGCGAUCAAGAUUGUUAGAAGUUGUUAACAGCUUGUUCCAAACUUGUUACAACAACUGGGAACAAGCACGCAGUGCGAACACAACUUGUCGACAGCUUGUGAACAGAUUUGUAGCAACUUGUUUGCAGACUUGUAACAACUUGUGCGUUUCAACGUGUGUAGCCCCAGGCUCCCUGAGCUGGGCCUGAAAAAAUCAUAUGUUGGUUCUUUCAUUAAUCAUUAUAUUCCAGAGGUUUUUGGCUGCCAGGCGAGUUUGGUGACAAAUAAAGUUGAGAGACGUGGAUUAAUUUAAUUUUCUGGCUCAUGCAUAAAAUCUAAAAUAUUUUGACCAAUAAUAGAUAGCUUAAGAUCUACGACGUCGACGUCAGCUAGGACGUCAGGGCUAUGCAGAGGACUGGGAUAGGAUGUCGUCCUAAUGUAGUCCCAGUCCUCUGCUUAGCCCUGACGUCCUAGCUGACGUCGACGUCGUAGAUCUUAAGCUAUCUAAUGAAGAUAUAGCACAACAUACUUAACUUGACAUGGAUUUUUGAAAUUCUUUCUAGCCCAGUACCAUCGUAUGUGGCGAAAUAUGUGGACCACAAGUAUCUUUGCAAUUCUUUUCGCUUCAUUUACUUCACUGUUGUUGUUGAAACUUUGUCAAGAAAUUCGCCGAACGAAGAGAAUAAUUAACAGAUCUAGCAUACAGUAAAUAACACUGUGACUUAGAUUUAUCGUCGGUGAAAUCUAUGUCUAUUAUUGAUUACAAAAAAAUAGUAUUAAUAUACGGAUCAUUAACAGAAGACGAAGGACCAAGUCUGGUCUAUACAGUAAAUAAAGAUUUAAGGAUUAUGCAUCCUGGCUUUUAGUCACGAAAAUCCAUCUGAUCAUUACAGUAGACACUUCCGGAAUGUGUUUGUAAUCAUGGGAUAAUGGUACGAGGUCGAGGCUGACAAUGACUUGACGUCGCAACUUUUAAAGGUCUGUUUACAGUUUUUUUGCUGUGAUUUUAGGUGCGAUUUUCUUCUUCUGAUGGAACGAGUGUUAUGAAUGUUCAGAUGAGACUGCGUUUUCAUAACUCGUCUCCUCGUUCACAUGAAUCAGAAGACGAAAUGAAUCGCACUAGAAAUGGCAGCAAAAAUUUCAAGUGUCAACGGGCCUUUAGCAAAAAAAAUAGAUAGUGCCGUCCUGUCAUAAUCCAGUGAUGGAAAUGUUCCAUUCUCUUUUCAUUGUAUUGAAAAUCUCCAUGCCAUUCAGUUUAAACUCAUUGCUUUGCCAUAUUUGCAAGGGUGGGUAGUAGCGAAGUAGUUGUAGUUCGCUACUGUAGCGAACUACAAUUUUCAAGUAGCCAGUAGUUUUUAACUACUUUUUUAAAACAGUAGUUGUAGUUAUAGCGAACUACAAUUUGCCUAAAAGUAGCCAAGUAGUUGACUACUUUUCAAACAACGAAUCGCUAUUCGCUACUUUUUAAAAUUGUUAGCAACCGUUCAUAGAAUAGAAUGAUAUUAAGACACGGUUUGCUUAAUUUAAAAGAUUAUUUUACACAGUAAAGAUAAUUUUAGCGCAAUGAAAAGUGGCACUCCUGAACACUGCAGUGCUUACAAAAAUGUUGCUUUGACCCUUCUUGUUUACUGUUGCUACUCGUAAGUCGAUUUGUUAUAGGUUGUAUUACAGCCUGAGCUAGUGGAUGCUCCAAAUACCAUAAAACUAAAAAAUAUAGCCUUUGUUAAAUAGUAGCAGUAGUUGUAGCUGACUACAUAUUUUUGAAGUAGCUGUAGUUAUAGCGAACUACAAAAAUUUUGUAGUCAACCCACCCUUGCAUAUUUGUGAUUUUAUGCAAAGGCAUAUUGGAUCACGUUGUCAGCCUCGGCUUCAAGAUACUGUAUCAGAAGUGUAGUUAGUGAAGGCCCGUUUACACUUGCAAUUUUUGGUGUUUAUCUUCUGAUGGAUGUGAACGAGUGAAUGCGUUAUGAAUGCUCAGAAGAGGGUGUAUGUGCUCAGAACAGUUAUAACUCAUCUGCUGAUUCACAUCCAUCACAAGAAGUAAUCGCAGCAAAAAUUGCGAGUGUUUAGGAGAGACAUUCAUUUAUCAAAGGAAUUUUUCAGUUAGUGUUGAGUUGACCUUGUACUUGAUUGCCACUUAUAUGAAAUGCAGUUGUGUAAAUGUGAAAAAAAUUUUCAAAAUAUAAUUGUG